GGCUUAUUGUGUAUAAUUUUAGGUCUGACCUGCCCUAUGAUGAAAAUUAAAUGGCUGCGGUAAUUUGACCGUGCAAAGGUAGCAUAAUCAUUAGUUUUUUAAUUGAAAGCUUGUAUGAAAGGUUUGAUGAGAAAAUAGCUGUCUCUAUUUAAAAUUUAGAAUUUUAUUUUUAAGUAAAAAAGCUUAAAUAAUUAUAGAAGACGAGAAGACCCUAUAGAGUUUUAUAAUUAUUUAAAUAAUAGGUAUUUGGUAUUAUAAGAUUUAUUUAAAGAAUUAUUUAGUUGGGGUGAUUGAAAAAUUUAUUAAACUUUUUUUAUAUAAAAUCAUUAAUUUAUGAAUAAUUGAUCCUUAAUUUAAGAUUAAAAGAUAAAAUUACCUUAGGGAUAACAGCGUAAUUUUUUUUAGAGUUCUUAUCGAAAAAAAAGAUUGCGACCUCGAUGUUGGAUUAAAGUAAAUUUUGGGUGUAGAAGCUUAUAAAUUAGGUCUGUUCGACCUUUAAAACUUUACAUGAUCUGAGUUUAAACCGGUGUAAG
rnacentral:rRNA from 1 species